rnacentral:lncRNA from 1 species
GAAGGAAGGAAGCAAAGGGAAGUCGGAAGGGCGCUCCGGCUUUGCAACCGUGCAACGCCUUUCGCCUUUGCAACCCUGCAGCUCGUUUUCCUUGCAAGCUCGCAGUCGUCCCGCCCUUUGCAAAGCAGCUUUGCAACUCGUCCUCCUUUGCAGGUCGGUGCUCACCGCGAGGACGGCGUCGGGCUGCGCUCUGCUCACUCUCUGGUGCCCAAUCAGGUUGCGGUGCCGCAGCUCCCCGUGCAAUCGGCCACGUCCCCGGAGCUCAACCCGAGCCAGGAUCCUUAUAGGGGUGAGUUGCAACGGGGCUGCUGCGGUUGCAUUGCAUUGUUGCGUUGCAAUGUGGUUGCAUUGCGGUGUGGUUGCAUUGCAUUACAUUGCAUUGCGGUGUGGUUGCAUUGCAUUGUGGUGUGGUUGCAUUGCGUUGCAUUGCGUUGUGGUGUGG